UGCGUAGACGGUUUUGUAAGUCGGAUGUGAAAUCCCCGGGCUCAACCUGGGAAUUGCAUUCGAGACUGCAAGGCUUGGGUGCGGAAGAGGGAAGCGGAAUUUCCGGUGUAGCGGUGAAAUGCGUAGAUAUCGGAAGGAACAUCAGUGGCGAAAGCGGCUUCCUGGUCCAGCACCGACGUUCAGGCACGAAAGCGUGGGGAGCGAAACAGGAUUAGAUACCCUGGUAGUCCACGCCAUAAACGAUGAGAACUAGACGUUGAGAGGGUAAGCCUCCCAGUGUCGUAGCUAACGCGCUAAGUUCUCCGCCUGGGGAGUACGGCCGCAAGGUUGAA
rnacentral:rRNA from 1 species